rnacentral:rRNA from 1 species
CGGAACCGUCUGACGCCCUCGGGAAUCAGUCGAACGACGCGCGAACGCGUCUCGAUCGUCGGAGCGUAAAAGUCCGGCUCGAGGCGUCUAGUAGUCGCGUUCGUAAGGCGCAUUUCUCGAGGGUUAGCGCCGCGACCGAUGCGAACGGCCGACGACGCCGUCGAGUUGAGGUCGAACGCCCUUCGCGGGUAUUCGUAACCAGCUCGUUCGGUUUCGAUCGUUGGAUCUAUCUAUAUUAGCAUCGAGCGAAUACUUAAUAAAUACGUCGGCGUAAAACGCUCGACGAGCGGCGGAGACUCGGCCAGUCGUUCGAUACCUGCUCGCAGGUGCUCGUUCGGCGCGAGGUCGUUUCCCGAUGUCGCCGUCGACCCUACCGACGUUUAGGCGUCCGCGGCGUCCGAGUCGGCCACCCGUCCGACCCGUCUUGAAACACGGACCAAGGAGUCUAACGUACGCGCGAGUUAAUGGGCGGAAAACCCAUAAGCGCAAUAAAAGUAAAAGUCGUCCCAAGACGGCCGAGGUACGAUCCUAGACUACGCGUCUAGGCGCAGUACCGUCCCGUCCCGACCGCACGUCGGUAGGGCGGAGAUUGAGCGCAUACGUUGGGACCCGAAAGAUGGUGAACUAU